AGGGACACACGAUGGAGAGCACUUUGAUCGAUCGCGUUAGUAGUGAAGAUAGAAUCGAUAGAAAAUCGUAACAAAACUUGGGAAUCCAGAACCUCAUCUUGAUAGUUAGAGAGAAGUGUGAUGGUGAGCGAUCGAGUAAGCGGAUAAUAAAAUCUAUAAAAAUCAAAGUUCAAUCGCUAGUGUCACCUUUUACAGUUGUAACU